UAAUACAGAGAUGGCGAGCGUUGUUCGGAAUCACUGGGCUUAAAGCGCGUGUAGGCGGAGUGAUGGGUGCCUUGUGAAAUCCCUCGGCUCAACCGGGGAAUGGCUCGGCAAACCGGCACUCUUGAGGCAGGUAGAGGUUACUGGAACCAUUGGUGGAGCGGUGAAAUGCGUAGAGAUCAAUGGGAACGCCGGUGGCGAAAGCGAGUAACUGGGCCUGAUCUGACGCUGAGACGCGAAAGCGUGGGUAGCAAACAGGAUUAGAUACCCUGGUAGUCCACGCCGUAAACGAUGCGCACUAGGUAUGAGCGGUCUGACGCCGCUCGUGCCGAAACAAAAGCGUUAAGUGCGCCGCCUGGGGAGUACGGCCGCAAGGCUA
rnacentral:rRNA from 1 species